rnacentral:rRNA from 1 species
UGGGGAAUCUUGGACAAUGGGCGCAAGCCUGAUCCAGCCAUGCCGCGUGGAUGAUGAAGGCCUUAGGGUUGUAAAAUCCUUUUCGCCGAGGACGAUAAUGACGGUACUCGGAGAAGAAGCUCCGGCUAACUACGUACCAGCAGCCGCGGUAAUACGUAGGGACCAAGCGUUGUUCGGAUUUACUGGGCGUAAAGGGCGCGUAGGCGGUGUGUCAAGUCAGUUGUGAAAUCUCCGAGCUUAACUCGGAACGGUCAACUGAUACUGUCACACUAGAGUACAGAAGGGGCAAUCGGAAUUCUUGGUGUAGCGGUGAAAUGCGUAGAUAUCAAGAGGAACACCUGAGGCGAAGGCGAGUUGCUAGGCUGACACUGACGCUGAGGCGCGAGAGCAAGGGGAGCAAACAGGAUUAGAUACCCGAGUAGUCCCUGAGCGGGCUGGCAAGGCGCAU